UAUCUUUUUGUAUUUGUAUCAUUUGUUUCAAUUUCUCACAUUGUUUCAUAUUUUUCAGCCAUAAUCUCAAAUAUCUCAGCCAUAAGAGAAUCACUCGAGGUAUUCAAAUGCAUGCACAAAAGUUGAACGAUUUCUUAUCUUUAUGUAAGACAAAAGAAAUUGCAUCUACAGGCAACUAAUCGAAGAAGAAGAAACGAAGAAGAAGAAGAAGUCUAAUCUAAUUCAAUGGACCAACGAAAUGGGGAAGGAAUUGUGGUUUUGUAUAACUUAAUUUCUAUAUUUUAAUGAAUUCAAUUUUUUUAUUUUUGUAUAAUGUUACGGGGUUUUUCAGAUUUACAAAUAUUAUUUUUCAGAUUUUAUACAAAUAUGUACAUUUAAUUGUAUAUUUUUUUGUCCAUCAGUGGUAC
rnacentral:lncRNA from 1 species